AACACCAGAUAAUCAAUCUUAUUAAGAAUUAAAAAAAUAAGUAGGGCACUCAAGAAUAAAUGGGUCCAGAUUCAGUGCAUGGACUUGGUGGCAUGUGUUUGCUCAAAAGUCUUUUAUCCUCCUGGCUCUGGGCUUUGGCUAUGUGAAGCCUGGCCAUCCUCAGUGCUCAGCUUUUCUUUGACUCAGCAGAGGAAACACAAGUCUGUCUCUUUGAUUGCCUCGGGGUGCCAUUUUCCACACCCACUUCUCCAGGCCAAAUGAGAGUGAUUUCACCCGUGCCACAGUUAGAGUUUUCAACUGCAGAACGCAGAAGCUUUCUGUUAAAUUCUAGCAGUGUUUUCUUUGAGAGUUUUAGAACAACUGUUUUAUAGCAACUAUUCCAGUUCCACCACCUGAACUCUUUUAUAUACAGUAAUUUUUAAAAUCUCCUAUGGUGUCUCUUUAAGAGCCUCUCCAGUUGGCAGCCUUUUCUCUUUGGCUUCUUACCUAGCUCUGUCCUUCUUUGUCCUGCUCUGCAGCAUCACUGAGAACUGUUGUGUACGUGCGGACUGUGGGGCUCUUGGCCACACUGAAUGGGCCCACAAGGGAACCCCUGGGACACCCUACAUUCAUUUGGAAAUGGCCAAGAGGACUUAGAAAGAAAAUAAUUGAUCCCGCCGUUUCCAAAGGAUGGGGGUAAAUGCGGUUGUGAAUUCUUAUGGCUUGGAGUUUUUCAAAGCAUUCGUUGGCCUAUCUAGCAGGGACUGAGUGAGAUGGUACAUUGUAUAUUUAUCAAAAGAUGCUUCCAGUUUCACCUUGGCCUGGGCAACUGCAGACAGUCUUCUUGGAUGAUGCUUGUGACUCUUCCCGCAACACCUGAGUGGCCCCUCAUGGUUGGGUACAUGGGUCCCAAAGCUGAGCCUGAAGUCGAUGCUGGGAACUGAGUCACCAAGGGCAUGGAUGCUUCCAUCAAGGCAGACAAGAUUUAAAAACCUAGUUUCAGUGGCACUAAUGAGACCAAUAGCAAACCCAACCUGGGACGUCUUAGGAGACUGGUCACAAUUUCCAUUUCUCUCUCUGCUCGGCGUUUUUGCACAAUCAUGAAGAGUUUGGAGAGCAGGAGGAGGCCUCAAAAAGGACAUCCUGAGCUUCUUGAUAGUGUGUCCGUUGAAGGCCUCAUCACUUAAUUAUAAAGAAAAGUUUUGUUAUUAAUUUGUCUCCUAAGAUUAAAUGGAUCAUAUUUAUCAUUAGGUGCUUUUUAAAAAAUAAAAUUUACUCCUAUUUAUUUUGAUUCAUUUUUUAUCAUUUCUAAACACUUCCGAAAAUGAUAAGCUUCCCUGGAUGAA
rnacentral:lncRNA from 10 species